rnacentral:rRNA from 1 species
GCCUACGGGGGGCAGCAGUAGGGAAUUUUCGUCAAUGGGCGCAAGCCUGAACGAGCAAUGCCGCGUGAACGAGGAAGGUCUUCGGAUCGUAAAGUUCUGUUGAAGGGGAAAAAGAGCGGAGAGAGGAAAUGGUCUCCGAUUGAUAUUACCCUUCGCGGAAGUCACGGCUAACUACGUGCCAGCAGCCGCGGUACUACGUAGGUGGCGAGCGUUAUCCGGCAUGAUUGGGCGUAAAGGGUGCGUAGGCGGCCUGCUAAGUCUGGAGUGAAAGGUACCGGCUCAACCGGUACAGGCUCUGGAAACUG